rnacentral:rRNA from 26 species
CGGCCUCGGGUCCAUCCCGAGGCCACGCCCGUCUGAGGGUCGGCG